GACAGAGGGGGCAAGCGUUGCUCGGAAUUACUGGGCGUAAAGGGCGCGUAGGCGGGAUGGCAAGUCGGUCGUGAAAUCCCUCGGCUCAACCGAGGAACGUCGAUCGAUACUGCUGUUCUUGAGGAUUGCAGAGGAGACUGGAAUUCCCGGUGUAGCGGUGGAAUGCGCAGAUAUCAGGAGGAACACCGGUGGCGAAGGCGGGUCUCUGGGCAGUAACUGACGCUGAGGAGCGAAAGCGUGGGGAGCGAACAGG
rnacentral:rRNA from 1 species